UGCAGGCGGGCUGGCGCAUGUCCAUUCAGACGUUCACGCGGUCUUCUUUCUCUGCCUUUCAUCGCCACGGUCAGAGCGUUGCAUUUUAUUUUGAUGCCAAGUUUUCUUGUUCAUUUUUUUUUUGCUGCCCUCAUAUGGGCUUCUUUUUGGUCAUCGAGAUUUUUUCUUCUUAAGAGAGAAAAACUGAGUUUCUUCUGUCCCACUUGAACGAGAGACAAGGAAACACCGGCAUUUCUUUCCUUUCAUCUUUUCCUUUCCUCUUCCUUUUUUCAGCCUCUCCUCUCUCUCUCUCUCUCUCUCUCUCUCUCUCUCUCUCCUCCUCCUCCUCUCUCCUCUCUUUUCCUGUCCUCUCUGCAUCCUUAAACUCAAAUGCUGAAUCAGCUGGAGACGAACGGAUGCGCUGCACCCCCUCUCAUCCACCCAUCGUCAUCCCCCCACACCACCCCUCACCCUUCCUGAUUCACACAAACCGUCGCACCCCAUGGACGCAGCGCCAUCAGUCCAUCAUGUUGAAAUCCCCCUUUCCUGGGCUCAAAGCCAGCCAUGCAUCUCUCGAGCCCCCACCUCCUCCACCUCCUCCACCUCGCAGCCACCCAGACUCAAAAAUGCUUUGCUAAAGCUGGUAAAAUGGAACCAAAUCAACUGUUCAAUGGAUUUGGUCCCCUUCAACCAGCUGUAGCUGCGCAUUGAUCACCCCAGAUGUACCAUCGGGUUGGAACCAGCCAAACACUGAGAGCUCACUGGCCCACAGGAACAGUUCUGAUCAGCGUUCUGAUCAGCGUUGGUCCACUGAACAGAAGGAGCGGGCCGUGGACGCAACCUACUGAUUCAGGAAAUAGAUCAACGGCUGCGGCCAAGCGGAGAAAUUGCAAUCCCCCUCAAGCGAUCAAAAUAGCCCUAGUCCGCAUCGACAUGACACGAUACAACAGUCAUUCUCGCCACUAACACGGUGCAGCUUUUGUCCUAGACACAGCUCUCUAUGUAACCCUUGCAGGUGAGUGUCGGCUUUGUUUCAUUAAUUGAUGCCAGUGUUCAUACACACACACACACACACACACACACACACACACACACACACACACACACACACACACACACACGCACACACACUGGACUGUCUCCAUGUCUUGUAUGUAUUCACCCACCAUCAGUACUAUUGGAUUAGGGUCUUAUCAUUCUUUAUGGCGAAAGAUUGAUUUUUUGUCAGCCAGGAAAAGAGGGGGAUGUGCUUGUAUAUAUCAGCAUGUGUAUAUGUGUAUAUGUGUGUGUGUGUGUGUGUGUGUGUGUGUGUGUGUGUGUGUGUGUGUGUGUGUAUGGUGGGGUUGGGGGAUGGGGAUUGGCUGCAUAAGUAAAGAAGUCAUUACUUUUUUUACCCCCACUUGCUGUGAUUCUUAAUGCAGGAGUGUGAUCAAUAAAAGCUCAUCCUGAAGUUCAUAAA